rnacentral:rRNA from 1 species
CGAACGGGUGAGUAAUGUCUGGGAAACUGCCCGAUGGAGGGGGAUAACUACUGGAAACGGUAGCUAAUACCGCAUAACGUCGCAAGACCAAAGAGGGGGACCUUCGGGCCUCUUGCCAUCGGAUGUGCCCAGAUGGGAUUAGCUAGUAGGUGGGGUAACGGCUCACCUAGGCGACGAUCCCUAGCUGGUCUGAGAGGAUGACCAGCCACACUGGAACUGAGACACGGUCCAG